GAUGAACGCUGGCGGCGUGCCUAAUACAUGCAAGUCGAGCGAACAGACGAGGCGCUUGCUUCUCUGACGUUAGCGGCGGACGGGUGAGUAACACGUGGCUAACCUACCUAUAAGACUGGGAUAACUUCGGGAAACCGGAGCUAAUACCGGAUAAUAUAUUGAACCGCAUGGUUCUAUAGUGAAAGCCGGUUUUGCUGUCACUAAUCGAUGGAUCCGCGCCGCAUUAGCUAGUUGGUAGGGUAACGGCUUACCAAGGCAACGAUCCGUAACCGACCUGAGAGGGUGAUCAGCCACACUGGAACUGAGACACGGUCCAGACUCCUACGGGAGGCAGCAGUAGGGAAUCUUCCGCAAUGGGCGAAAGCCUGACGGAGCAACGCCGCGUGAGUGAUGAAGGUCUUCGGAUCGUAAAACUCUUUUAGUAGGGAAGAACAAAUGUGUAUGUAACUAUGCACGUCUUGACGGUACCUAAACAGAAAGCCACGGCUAACUACGUG
rnacentral:rRNA from 1 species